rnacentral:rRNA from 1 species
UACGUAGGGAGCAAGCGUUUGUCCGGAUUUAUUGGGCGUAAAGAGCUCGUAGGCGGUUUGUCGCGUCUGCCGUGAAAGUCCGGGGCUCAACUCCGGAUCUGCGGUGGGUACGGGCAGACUAGAGUGAUGUAGGGGAGACUGGAAUUCCUGGUGUAGCGGUGAAAUGCGCAGAUAUCAGGAGGAACACCGAUGGCGAAGGCAGGUCUCUGGGCAUUAACUGACGCUGAGGAGCGAAAGCAUGGGGAGCGAACAGG